CAUAGGUAGAGUGCAUAAAUUCACUCACAACAUUGAUUAAGAAGGCGAUGUCAGGUCUAGCAUAAGACAAGUAAAUUAGCUUACCAACCAACCUAUGGUAUCUUCCACCGUCAACUGGAUCACUUCCUUCCUCCCAAAGUUUUGCAUUAGGGUCCAAGGGUGGAAAGAAUAAUUGCAGAUAUGAUUCUCAAAGACAAUUCUGACAAUGUUAUUUCAGAGUAUUUGGUCAAGUGGCAAGGACUAGUAAGAGUUAGAUCAACCGGAGGAUAAUCUGAUAGUUAGAGAUAGAAGGAGACCAGUGAAACGUAUAGACUGAACUGUUAAGAAUGAUUUGGAUCAUGGUCUAUCUAUCAUUUGACAUGAUUUAUGAUAAAAUAUUAUGGAGGCUCGUGAGGCUGCAAUGUCAGUUCAUGGGAAGAUGGUUGAUCUUCAGCAUAGGAAGAGCAAAGCAAGUUUGCAGAAAUUUGACGAACAACCUGAACGGUUGAAGGGUGGAAAGCUUCGUGACUAUCAACUUGAGGGUCUGAAUUUUCUUGUUAACAGUUGGAGAAAUGAUACAAAUGUUGUUUUAGCCGAUGAAAUGGAUCUUGGUAAAACUGUUCAGUCAAUAUCUAUGCUUGGUUUUCUAUAGAAGGCCCAGAAAAUCCAAGGUCCUUUUCAUGUAGUUGUCCCGGUUGUAAAAUCAAGAGAAAUCAGAUUUGAUUCUCUUUUAUUUUAUAUUAUUAUGUUUAUUUUUAUUUUAUGAUUUUGUCAUUAUUAUUCAAGUAUUAUUAUUGUAAUUUCUUUUCCUAUAUAAACAGCUUAUAGAUGUAGUAAUAAAAUAUGAAAGGAUUGUAUUUUACUUUUUUCAUGGUAUCAAGAGCUUUUGGUUAGGGUUCCAUGGUAGGGUUUGGGGAUUCAAAACUAAAAGGGUUAAACCGUGAUGCUCUAAUCAAUUGAGCUAAAGGGUUGACCCAACUUGUUUUUUAUCUAUGUAGUCGCAGCCCCUAGUCGUAGCCCCACGCGGCUGUAAUGGUUUUUCCAAUUCUUUUUGGCUAUGAGGGAACUUCUAAUGCCCUCAAGGUUGAAAUCCAGAAACUCAAUGGAAAAAAUCAUGUCGAAUGGUUCCGAACCGCAAUAUUGAUACUAAAAAUAUGGUUUCCUCACAGGAGAGGUGAAAAUGCUUGCCACAACUGAUCUAGGUUUUGGAAAUACGAGAACUCUGUUAUUAUUGCUUGGCUGCUUAGUAAUAUGGAAUCAACGAUUAGAAAAACUUUUAUGUUUUUGUCUAUUGCAAAGAAAGUUUGGGAGACUCUCAAAGAAACAUAUUCUGACAUUCAUAAUUCUUCUUAAAUUUUUUAUCUCAAAUCACGAUUGUGGCAAGCCAAACAAGCAGACAGAGAUGUCACUAUGUCACUAUCUAUUAUAAUGAGUUGAUGACACUAUGGCAAAAAUUGGAUAUCUGUUAUGAUGAUCCUUGGAAGUGUUGUGAAUACAGUGUUUUGUUUUUUAAGAAACCAGAGAGAACUACCGAGUAUUCAUGUUUUUUGGUUGGGCUUAAUAAGGGCUUGUCAAGAACAUUGAAAUGAAUACUCGAUUCUCCUAUCUCUUAAGAAACAAAACACUGUCCUCACAGCACUUCCAAUGAUCAUCAUAGUAGAGAUCCAAUUCAAGUCAUAAUGUUCAACUCAUUAUAAUAGGUAAUGACAUCCCUAUCUCUUUGUUUGGCAUGCCACAGUUGUGAUUUGAGAUCGAAAAUUUGAGAAGAAUUAUGAAUGUCAAAAUAUGUUUCUUUGACAGCCUCCCAAACUCAGUUCGCAUAAAAGAUUUCCUAAUCGCUGAUUCCAUAUUACUAAGCAGCCAAACAAUAAUAUCAGAGUUAUCAGAUUUUCAAAACCUCGAAUAAGUUGUGACAGGCAUUUGCACCUCUCUUGUGAGGAAACCAUAUUUUACUAGUAUCAAUCUUGCGGUUUGGGACCAUUUGACAUAAUUUUUUCCAUUGAGUUAUGGAUUUCAACCUUGAGGGCAUUAGAAGUUCCCUCAUGGCCAAAAAUAUUGGAAAAACCAUUACAGCCGCCAAUGCCGCUGCCAUUGCCUAAACCAAUACUGUCGGCUUGUUGACUACUUCUGAUUUUUCACCCAAACCGUCGUGGUUGUUGUCUACUUCUGAUUUUUCAUCCAAACCAUUGUUGCUGCUGCCACUACCAUAAGGGCUGCCAUCAUGCAGCACCGAUGAUUGAUGGAGUAUCUGCCCAAGUGAGAAGCUGGUCAUAUGGGAAUUUGUCUAAACGAGAUGCACUCCGAUUUUCUCGUUCAGUUAUGAAGUUUGGGAAUGAGAGCCAAAUCAACUUGAUUUCUGCUGAGGUUGGUGGUGCAGUAGGAGCUGCUCCACUUCAAGCACAAACGGAACUCUUCGAUGUUUUAAUUGAUGGCUGUAGAGAAGCUGUGGAACUUGAAAGUCUGGAUCUGAAGGUAAUGUUGCAUCCAGGGGCCUUUGUUGGAUUUCUUUGGUGUCCCAGUGAAGGCGAAUGAGUUACUUAUCCGUGUGCAAGAAUUUCAACUCCUAGCAAAGUGCAUUACUCGGUAUGAAGAUCCCAUUGCACAAUUCCGUGUUUUAACAUAUCUCAAACCUUUAAACUGGUCAAAAGGUUGUGGAUGGAAUCAAAUUGAUGAUGCAAGAUUGCUUCUUGGAGUAUAUUAUCAUGGAUUUGGUAGUUGAGAAAUGAUAAGGUGGAUGAAAGACUUGGUCUUACGAAAAAAAUUGCACCAGUGGAACUUCAGCAUCAUGAAACUUUCUUGCCGCGAGCUCCAAACUUGAGAGACCGGGACAAUGCCCUGUUGGAGCAAGUUUGUGAUCGCUUCAAUUACAUCCUUCUUUUCGUUUUUCUCUGGUUAUGCUACCUACACAUCAAUAAUGAGCGUCUUCAUGCCCUAUCCCCUCUUUUUAUUUACAUGCUUCCUUUCCCUCUAUACCUCAAAUUUAAUUUUCAAGAGUUGUUUUGGUACUUGAUGUUUCCCACAUGUAUAUAGUUUUGAAUACUAUUCAAUAUAGUUUAUCUUGUAUUGUAAAUUUCACUUGCAGAAGGUACCACACAUUGUUGAGGGUGUUCCUCUUGGGUUAAAGGCUUUGUGGAGAGAAAAUCUCCAGAUGCUCAAAUUUUUACUUAGACUCAACAUUCUUGUAAUAUCCAACUUUUUAAGCAAUAUGCUUAUUAUACAUGACAACAGAUGGCGAGAUAUGAGGUUUUAUUGUUUUUUUAGUUUUAUAACUAUCGUAAAAGCUUUGCUUUUUUCUUUUGGUAACAGAGCACCUUUUAUCAGUAUUGUGAGCGUACCUUAGAUUGAAUUCUAGGUCACUAGGUCGUAUAGAUUAUGAUACCAUAUGAUAAACUAACCCUCUUAAAAGCUUUAGCUGUUAGGUGAAGACAAGUAGAUUUUAUAUUAUAAGGCAAACAAUAUGGAAACUUGUUAUUUGAGUGUGAGAGGUGUUAAUCUAACCAUAAAACGCUUCAUGGAUGAUCAAAUAUAGAUUUAAAUAAAUUUGUUCUUGAUCAUCCAUAUAUGGCUAUACAGUCAAUAUUUACUCCUCUCAUGCUCUCACUUGAACAACACCUUGAUGCAGUCAAUUUUUUAUUACUUGAAACUUGUGUCAGUUCAUUAUUCAUAUUAUCCACGCAUAGCUCAAGCUAAUUCCUCGAGUAAUUCAUGUAGGAACUUGCUGUUAUUGGCGUGAAAAAGGCCUAUAGCAAAAGUGGAAGGAAGACUUCCAAGAAAAAGUAAGAACAUCUUGUAGACAUCUCAUCGUUGCAUGGGCAGGAACAGAAAAAAGUGGGUUCUUAUAAAGUUAAUGUCGAAAUAAGGAAGGAUAGACUUCAGAAACCUCUCAAAGUUGAACCUGUUAUAAAGAGGGUGAAAUUUCUGAUGAUGAUGAAGUAUAUAAGCAGUUCAAGGAAGUAAAAUGGAUGGAAUGGUGUCAAGAUGUGAUGGUUGAAGAAAUGAAAAUGUUGAAACGUCUUCACAGGUUGCAGACAACCAGCGCCAAUCUUCCGAAGGAAAAGGUGCUUUCAAAAAUCCGCAACUACUUGCAGCUUCUUGGCAUAAGGAUAGAUCAAAUUGUAUCAGAAAAGGAAGACCAACCCUCUAAGCAAGAUAGAAUGAAUAUGAGAUUGUGGAAGUUGUUGCUACCUUUUCCCAUUUAUCAGGGGAGAGGCUUUACCAAAUUUAUUCAAAACUUAAACUGGAGCACAUUGCAGCAGGUUUUGGCCCCUCUCAUCCCAAUGGGUCAGUAUCUAGUCCCUUUGGCAGGAAUGGAAAACUUAGUCAUUCGUAUUCAUUUCCAGGGUCAGCCACACCUCAAAGGAUCAUGAGUAAUGGAAUUCAGCCGCUGGAUCCUAACUCGAUGGGGAUCCUUGGGGCAGGACCUUCCGAAAAAUGUACUGCUGGUGAAAAACAAUUCAAGACUCGAUAUGGUGGGUUUCCUCCAAGACAAGAAUUCUCUUCAGGAAUCGAGUAGCUGAUUAUGAAGGGAUCAGAACGGCUGAUUCCAGAAGUGUUGGCUUUCACUCUGCACUUAGCUUCAGCUAUUGUAAAUACUUUGGAGUUCUUUUUUUUCCACCAAUGGGAUAAGAUAUUGCAGAUCCCUCUUUGGUUUCCUGUGGUAAUCCGAGAAAUAUCCUACAUAUGAAUUUGCAUAGUUGAACAAGGCAGCUGAAGCCGACCAUGAUCUGGUGUUUACAAUGCAAAGUUUUGCCCUUUUAUCAUUCCCUUUUUCCUUUUGAAUUUUACACUUCCUUGAGGAGGAGCCAAGCAAAGGGUUACAUAUAUAGUGAAAAAUCUUUAACAGAAACACAUUAUACCUGCUAGAGAUAUCUAAGAAAAGUGUGCAUUCCAAGUCUCCCCAUUUUAUUGGAAUUAAUUGUAGGCAUCAUGCAAAUUAUGUUAGCUGAUAUGCACAAAAAUGUAUUUCCAACAAGUUCAGCUAAAACCUGUCUGAAUUUUUUUGUAGCUCUUUAAAGCAAAUUUCAUUAGCAAAUAAAAUUAAUUAAUUCUCAGCAUUUUUGCUCA